GCUGAACCGGUAGACCUCACGACAGAUUCAGACGAUGAGUCUGAGGUGUGUGUCAAUGUUGCUCCCAAGAAACGGAAAAACAUAGAUGACUCUACACCGCACCAAAUUCCUCAGGAUAAACUAAUUAAUGAUAGAGGAAUCGGAUGUGCUGAACAAAUAAUCGGCCUCACAACGGAUUCUGACAUAGAGUCUGACGUUUCCGUCGUUGAACCUCAGAGGAAGCGCAAAAACAUAAGAAGAUCUAUUUCACACCAAACCCCACAAGAUAGACACAUCAGGAGCGCUGAUGAUAUUUUAACAUGGACGGAAUCACAGAUCGUUGAAUGGGAUCGUUCGUCAUGGACCAGUGAUCGAUACGACGAGGCUACAGUGAGAGCCAGACAGACACCGUAUCCUUUUUACAUUGCUACGAAGAAAGAAGACGAAGAAGAAGAAGAAGAAGAAGAAGAAGUGCGGGAGACAGAGGGCAGAAAUGAUGAGCAGUAUGAUGUUCGGACUCUGGAUCGUGAAAUCAUUAAAAGAUUAGAUGAUGAGGCCAUAGCGAGACGUAACAUCACAACUACCAUUAAUAGGCGUUUUGAUGAACUUAAUAGCAGAUUGGAUGACAUUAAUAUCAAA